UUAAAACAUUUUGUAUAAAUUCAUAAAUAUUUGACAAAAUCGUAUAAUCUCGCUUAAAAAAAUGUAUCAUAAGUUUUUAUAAAUAUGACUACAAUUUAUAGCAUUUUUAUUUACUAUAUACUAUUAUAAAUGUUCAUUAAUUUAUAGAUUGUUCAUUUCAGAUUGAUUUAAUUGAAUUAUUAAAUGUUGCUUCGAUAAUAAAGAUUUUGCAAAUAAUGUAGUUAACCUAGUGUUCAAAAGGUUUCACUACAACCAUAUAUAGAAAACUGUUCCGCUCAAUAAUGUGGUCCAAAAUAGAUAACUUUCUUUUUGUUAUGUGCCUUUAAUGAUUGCGUAAUGUAAACCAGACAUUACUUAUAUAUAAAUCGGAAAUCGUAUAAAGCAGUUCAUUCACGAGAUAUAAAUAUAGGAAUACAAUAUAAUAAAAUCAAUAUUUACAAUGGCACUAAAAUACUGUCUUUGCUCAUUCUUCAUUUGCUGUUUGUGGGUCGGGAGUUCUUGGACAAACAAAUAUUCAGAGCCAUAUAGCUGCUAUGGAGAUGUGUGCAACCUUGAUCAUGACGCACAGUUUUGUGACGGGGACUACAUGUUAUGUCGUCAGUGUAAUGUCGUCAGGGAAGACUGUUUUACGGGACUACACGUUUGUAAUUGCUCACAGUUCUGUACUAAAUAUAGAAGGGAUAUAGAAGAACGUCGAGCAGUUGAAGGAUGCGUGCUUCCACCUCCACCAGUACAUGGUCAUUAUAACGUUAAUACCACACGCGUACCUAUCGGUGUCAAGUUAGAGGUCACGUGUGCUGCAGGAUACACCGUUCGGGACGAUAACCCGAUCACAUGCAGCAAUUUAUCAAUUUGGACUGGAUCCUUACCAUUUUGUACAGAAUCACACAUCAAUUGGAAAAAGAUACUUAUUAUUACACUUGGAGCGGGUCUAGUUAUAUCAAUGGUUAUCAACUUUCUAUUUGCACACCACUUCACCAAGAUGCAAGUGAAGAAACGUCAAGCUAAUAAUGUCAAGCAAUCAUAUACUCUAAAAAAACACACAUUGUUGGAAAUACAAGAGAUGCAGAGCAGUAUGAUGUUAAAAAUAAUGCCGAGACAAAAAGGCUCCUUCCAUCAGCUCCCGAUGAGCGAAAAAUUGAUUUCGAAGACAAUAGUAAAACAGAACAUGAUCCUAACGAACGGCAUCCACCAAUGACAAGCUAUCAACACGAAGAUGGAACACGUGGGAAUAUGUGUAAAUCAGAUAUGAAUUCUAUUCCUGAUGGAACAUCACAUGCAGAGAACAACACAUUGAAUGGGGCAUGCAGAAUGAAGGAUGCAGUUUCAGUCAAACUGUUGGUCACGGCCAAAAUGUGUCCGUUGUUCUAAAUCUUAACAACGGCACACCACUAGCUGCAACAAAGAUUAUUGCGAAGCAGGAAAAUCUCUCGGCUCAGCAACCAGGCAAAUACCCUAUUCCCGAAACACAAAACGGGGAUGCACAAUCUUUGGCCAAAACGAUGGGACCAACUACGCAACCUGAUGUUUCCACAACAGGCCCAGUGGUUCAGCCAGAAGAUGUGGGAGAAAAGGCAAAAAUCGCUGUAGGUCGAGGGGAAUUUUCGCAUGGUGACAUGCAUUCACAUGAAACAUUAGCGUUUUAAUGACGAACAUACAUUUCAGAUUGAGCUGAUUAACAUUGAAAUAUUGAAUUAUUAUUCAUGCCAAAUUGCUGCUUCUUAUGGAAUGUUUAAUGGCAGAUUUUAAACGAAGUGUAUGUUUAUUUAGUAGUAGAAUUGUUCAAAGUAUAUAUUUGACGUUUGACAAGGUUACCCUGGCCCAUGUGAGCUUUAGAAGCAAAUUUAUAAAUAUUUAUUUAUUUAUUUGACUCCUAUGAUUUUUCGCCCUUACCCCCGAUGGAAGCAUUGGCAGUAUUGAUUUAUUGGCCAAUUUGAAUAAAUUUAUAUGCAUAAUAAAGUCAAUGUAAAUAUCAAAAUGAAAUACGGUGGUGUGAGUUUGCUAAGAGUUAAAUAAUGUUUAAACGUUAUAGGUAAGAAGUGUUGAUGAUAUGCGAGGAAUUUUUUGGACAGUUGCAAGAGUAAAAUGUAAUUCAUAAAUGCAUGAAUAACAAAAAUAACUGUCUUUAACUCUCAUUAUAUAUGAAAUGUGCAAAAUGUGUUUACUUGUUCAAAGCUCAAUAUGUUGUUCGCAUAUUGAUCCUAAAGUUUUAAUUGAUUGUUUUGUAAACCGCACACCUAUUGUAAAUCAAAACUUUCUUUAUUUUAAACAACCCUAGCAAAUGUUACAUUGGGUUUGAUCUUGUUUGAACUUGUAACCAUAAUCGAAUUAUUGUUGUAAAUCUGAUUUGUUUUUCGUUCAAGAAGAACUUAAUAUUGUGUUAUACAUUAAUAUUAUUUAAGUAAAGUCAAAACAAGGUAAAAGGUUAAAUGAUGUUUGAUAUUAAUUCAAAUUGCUUAAUGAUUUUAAUAAUAUAGUGAAAAAAAUAUAUGGUAGAUUAAGUAUAUAAAUUUGCGUGGUCUGAAGCUAUUUAAAUGAAAUAAAAAUAGUGGCAAUCAGGAAUUGUUCUCCACUUUUCUAAAUAUUCAAUUUAACUGAGUUUGAGAUGAAAAGUUCAGCUGUACGUCUUUACAUGUGUUACCAUUGAAUUGGCACAUGGACAGUUGUGAAUAUUUAAUAGCAUUUGGAUGCUUAAUUUGACUUGCUUGAUGUUCUUAUUCUGAAGCAUUUUCAAACUUUACAUAUCAUUAAGCCUUUUGUACUUAUAAUUUUUAUGUUUAAUAUACAAUAGGAUGUUUUAAAUUCUCAUGUAUUUUUACGCAACAUGUUAAAUCAUGACUUUAUUUUCCUUUAAUACAGUUCCCUUUAUAUAGUUGCUGAGGAAACGUGUGUAUUUAGUGUGACUUUUGUAUGUUAUUUGGUUAAUAAACUUUAAUCUACUUGUUUCUUGUCUAUUAUACUUUUAUACAUUUUGGUUGACUGCAAGUGUAUGGACGUAUACA